UGUACGAUUCCGAUGGAUCGGAACAUUUGGAACCGGUUCCUUACCGAUACCUGGAACCGAUUCCCAAGCCUAGUCUAUGUGUAUGUGUGUGUGUUCAUGGCUGAUGUUUGGG